rnacentral:rRNA from 1 species
AACGAACGCUGGCGGCAGGCUUAACACAUGCAAGUCGAACGCCCCGCAAGGUGAGUGGCAGACGGGUGAGUAACGCGUGGGAACGUGCCCUUCGCUUCGGAAUAGCCCCGGGAAACUGGGAGUAAUACCGGAUACGCCGUAUUGGGAAAGAUUUAUCGGCGAAGGAUCGGCCCGCGUUAGAUUAGCUAGUUGGCGGUGUAAUGGACCACCAAGGCCACGAUCUAUAGCUGGUCUGAGAGGAUGAUCAGCCACACUGGGACUGAGACACGGCCCAGACUGCUACGGGGGGCAGCAGUGGGGAAUCUUGGACAAUGGGCGCAAGCCUUAUCCAGCCAUGCCGCGUGAGUGAAGAAGGCCUUAGGGUUGUAAAACUCUUUCGCCGGAGAAGAUAAUGACGGUAUCCGGAGAAGAAGCCCCGGCUAACUUCGUGCCAGCCGCCGCCGUAAAAC